GAUGAACGCUGGCGGCGUGCCUAAUACAUGCAAGUCGAACGAGACCUUCGUGUCUAGUGGCGAACGGGUGAGUAACACGUUGGUACCUGCCUCGAAGUGGGGGAUAACUGCCCGAAAGGGUGGCUAAUACCGCAUAAUACCGCAAGGUUAAAGCAGUAAUGCGCUUCGAGAGGGGCCUGCGUCCCAUUAGCUUGUUGGUAGUGUAAUGGACUACCAAGGCGACGGUGGGUAGCUGGAUCGAGAGGUUGACCAGCCACACUGGGACUGAGAUACGGCCCAGACUCCUACGGGAGGCAGCAGUAAGGAAUCUUCCACAAUGGACGAAAGUCUGAUGGAGCAACGCCGCGUGCAGGAUGACGGCCUUCGGGUUGUAAACUGCUUUUAUAUGGGAAGAUUAUGACGGUACCAUAUGAAUAAGCACCGGCUAACUACGUGCCAGCAGCCGCCGUAA
rnacentral:rRNA from 1 species